GUAGGGAAUAUUGGGCAAUGGUCGGAAGACUGACCCAGCCAUGCCGCGUGCAGGAAGACGGCCCUCUGGGUUGUAAACUGCUUUUAUCUGGGAAGAAAAAGGCCAUGCGUGGCAAAUUGCCGGUACCAGAUGAAUAAGCACCGGCUAACUCCGUGCCAGCAGCCGCGGUAAUACGGAGGGUGCGAGCGUGGGCCGGAUUUAUUUGGGUUAAAGGGUGCGUAGGCGGCUGAUUAAGUCAGCGGUGAAAGACUUCGGCUUAACCGGAGCAGUGCCGUUGAUACUGGUUGGCUUGAGUGUCGGAGGGGUACAUGGAAUUGAUGGUGUAGCGGUGAAAUGCAUAGAUACCAUCAGGAACACCGAUAGCGAAGGCAUUGUACUGGCCGACAACUGACGCUGAUGCACGAAAGUGUGGGGAUCGAACAGGAUUAGAAACCCUAGUAGUCC
rnacentral:rRNA from 1 species